AAACAGGAACAGAAUAUACUGUUAAGGUCACUACAGAAGGCAAGGAAAAGGUAUACACUACAGAAUCAACUUUAGCUCCAACUACCGCACAAGCGC
rnacentral:lncRNA from 1 species